UACGAAGGGGGCUAGCGUUGCUCGGAAUCACUGGGCGUAAAGCGCACGUAGGCGGACUCUUAAGUCGGUGGUGAAAUCCUGGAGCUCAACUCCAAAACUGCCUUCGAUACUGAGAGUCUCGAGUCCGGGAGAGGUGAGUGGAACUGCGAGUGUAGAGGUGAAAUUCGUAGAUAUUCGCAAGAACACCAGUGGCGAAGGCGGCUCACUGGCCCGGUACUGACGCUGAGGUGGCGAAAGCGUGGGGAGCAAACAGG
rnacentral:rRNA from 1 species